UACGUAGGGUGCAAGCGUUGUCCGGAAUUAUUGGGCGUAAAGAGCUCGUAGGCGGUUUGUCUCGUCUGCUGUGAAAAUCCAGGGCUCAACCCUGGACCUGCAGUGGGUACGGGCAGACUAGAGUGCGGUAGGGGAGAUCGGAAUUCCUGGUGUAGCGGUGAAAUGCGCAGAUAUCAGGAGGAACGCCGGUGGCGAAGGCGGAUCGCUGGGCCGUGACUGACGCUGAGGAGCGAAAGCAUGGGGAGCGAACAGG
rnacentral:rRNA from 1 species